rnacentral:rRNA from 1 species
AUUGAACGCUGGCGGCAGGCUUAACACAUGCAAGUCGAGCGGGGAAAGGUAGCUUGCUACCUGACCUAGCGGCGGACGGGUGAGUAAUGCUUAGGAAUCUGCCUAUUAGUGGGGGACAACAUCUCGAAAGGGAUGCUAAUACCGCAUACGUCCUACGGGAGAAAGCAGGGGACCUUCGGGCCUUGCGCUAAUAGAUGAGCCUAAGUCGGAUUAGCUAGUUGGUGGGGUAAAGGCCUACCAAGGCGACGAUCUGUAGCGGGUCUGAGAGGAUGAUCCGCCACACUGGGACUGAGACACGGCCCAGACUCCUACGGGAGGCAGCAGUGGGGAAUAUUGGACAAUGGGGGGAACCCUGAUCCAGCCAUGCCGCGUGUGUGAGGAAGGCCUUUUGGUUGUAAAGCACUUUAAGCGAGGAGGAGGCUACCGAGAUUAAUACUCUUGGAUAGUGGACGUUACUCGCAGAAUAAGCACCGGCUAACUCUGUG